rnacentral:rRNA from 1 species
UACGAAGGGGGCUAGCGUUGCUCGGAAUCACUGGGCGUAAAGGGUGCGUAGGCGGGCCUUUAAGUCAGGGGUGAAAUCCUGGAGCUCAACUCCAGAACUGCCUUUGAUACUGGCGAUCUUGAGUCCGGGAGAGGUGAGUGGAACUGCGAGUGUAGAGGUGAAAUUCGUAGAUAUUCGCAAGAACACCAGUGGCGAAGGCGGCUCACUGGCCCGGUACUGACGCUGAGGUGCGAAAGCGUGGGGAGCAAACAGG